rnacentral:lncRNA from 1 species
UUGUAGAUAAAAGGGACAUUUCAUGUGCAACAGAUGAGAUGACAAGAACAUUGUUUAUUUUAAAUCAGGUAUAAAUGUUCUUAAAGACUCGAGACAAAUUACUAGAGGUAAGGGGUGGAUAUUUUCUAUAUCUCCGAUUCAAUAAGAGACUCAAUCUAAUUGAUGAACUAUUUUAAAUCAGGUAUAUAUGUUCUUAAAGACUCGAGACAAAUUACUAGAGGUAAGGGGUGGAUAUAUUUCUAUAUCUCCAAUUCAAUAAGAGACUCGAUCUAAUUGAUGAACUAGGUAUACAACAACAUGAGCAAUAUCCUGCGGCGGUUGUAUCACCAGCCAAGUUGCAAAACUUCUGCUUCAGGUCCCAUUCUAUUGUUUCUAUGCAUCACAAUCUUUAGUUACCAAAAUGUGGAUGGGUGCCUUUGCACAAAUGCUACUUCUCAUCCAUUCCACACCGUUUUCUGCAGAUGAAUUUCGAUUAACCAUCCCAUCNNN